CGCACAAGCGGUGGAGCAUGUGGUUUAAUUGGAAGCAACGCGCAGAACCUUACCAACCCUCGACAUACUCGUCGCGGAUCCAGAGAUGGAUCUUUCAUUUAGUUGGACGAUGUACAGGUGCUGCAUGGCUGUCGUCAGCCCGUGUCGUGAGAUGUUGGGUUAAGUCCCGCAACGAGCGCAACCCUUGUCCUUAGUUGCCAGCCUUAAGUUGGGCACUCUAAGGAGACUGCCGGUGACAAACCGGAGGAAGGUGGGGACGACGUCAAGUCAUCAUGGCCCUUACGAGUAGGGCUACACACGUGCUACAAUGGAUGGUACAAAGGGAUGCAAGCCUGCGAAGGUAAGCGGACCCCUUAAAGCCAUUCGUAGUCCGGAUUGGAGUCUGCAACUCGACUCCAUGAAGUCGGAAUCGCUAGUAAUCGUAGGUCAGCAUACUACGGUGAAUACGUUCCCGGGCCUUGUACACACCGCCCGU
rnacentral:rRNA from 1 species